CCUACGGGUGGCAGCAGUGAGGAAUAUUGGUCAAUGGACGAGAGUCUGAACCAGCCAAGUAGCGUGAAGGAUGACUGCCCUCUGGGUUGUAAACUUCUUUUAUAGGGGAAUAAAAUGUUCCGCGUGUGGGAUUUUGUAUGUACAAUAUGAAUAAGGAUCGGGUAACUGCGUGCCAGCAGCCGCGGUAAUAUGGAGGAUCCAAGCGUUAUACGGAGUUACUGGGGUUAAAGGGAGCGUAGGUGGAUUGUUAAGUCAGUUGUGAAAGUGUGCGGCUCAACCGUAAAAUUGCAGGUGAGACUGUCAGUCUUGAGUACAGUAGAGGUGGGCGGAAUUCGUAGUGUAGCGGUGAAAUGCUUAGAUAUCACGAAGAACUCCGAUUGCGAAGGCAGCUCACUGGACUGCAACUGACACUGAGGCUCGAAAGUGUGGGUAUCAAACAGGAUUAGAUACCCGAGUAGUC
rnacentral:rRNA from 1 species